rnacentral:lncRNA from 1 species
GUUUUGGUGUUAUCGAAGAAAGCGGGUUUCCCCGUCUCCGCCUGCGCGUCUUCUACACAGCGGUUCGAUACGGUACUGCGCCAUGUAAAGCUCACUGAAACCUCUGCGGAGGAGAGAGCUAUGUAGCCGUAGACAAAUCGAAAGUUUACGACCUUACGAGUCUUAACGAGGGUCAGACAUGCAUGUCAGUAUUCAGCCAAAUUUAAGUCUGUUGUCAGUAAGAUAUUUCGUACGAUGUCACUUUCUCACAUGAAAUUAACGUCAUUAACACAUUUUGUCAGUUUCAAAUUUCUGUUUCAUCAUUUGUCAGCUACUAGAAGUUAAGAUAUUUUUAAGAUGUCAGUUCCGAAUUGAGGUUUCUUCAUCAGUUGUUCUCUCAACUCAUACUGCAUGUCUCAAAUAUAACCUACGAGUUGACAUAGAGCCUGUUCGCAG